rnacentral:rRNA from 1 species
UACAGUGGUCUCAAGCGUUGUUCGGAUUCAUUGGGCGUAAAGGGUGCGUAGGCGGCGCGGUAAGUCGGGUGUGAAAUCUUGGAGCUUAACUCCGAAACUGCAUUCGAUACUGCCGUGCUUGAGGACUGGAGAGGAGACUGGAAUUUACGGUGUAGCGGUGAAAUGCGUAGAUAUCGUAAGGAAGACCAGUGGCGAAGGCGGGUCUCUGGACAGUUCCUGACGCUGAGGCACGAAGGCCAGGGGAGCAAACGGG